rnacentral:lncRNA from 1 species
CCUAUUUCCUUUGGAAACGGGGUUUUUUGCGGUUUUACCUCUUCGGAGGGCUUUCGUCGGAGGUUUCUAGAUAAACACAUUGGUGACAAAGGGAGGUAUGUUAUCAAUAUGACAGAUUCUUUGUUCUGGUGGCUUGUCAUGGACCUUCAAAAAAAAUCUUUGGAAAAGAUCCCCGAGAACUAAAAGUCUCCUCGGAUUGAUUUCACUAAAUCUUCUGAGAAAUCAUUUUUAAAUGGUGUCAUUCCAAAGAAGGAUUGGAAGCAUGGCCGGUGGUUAGGCUCUCUUGAUUUGUCGAGGAACCAGCUGAUUGGUGAAUCCUCCAAGCAUGUCAGGUGUGACAUUUUGAGUUAUUGAAUUUGUCUUAUUAUAACAUCAGGGGAAAAUUCCAUCGAGCACUCAACUACAGAGCUUCAUGCUUCUAGCUCAUUUGGCCACAAGCUUUGUGGACUUCCACUUAGAAGCAUUUAAUCAUUUAAUCAUUUUUUUGCAAUGAAGAACAAAGGAUUCACCCCGAAUAUGUAUACCUUUACUAGCGUUCUGAAGGCGGUUAGGAAAUUAGGUGUUGCGGACAUGGGGAAACAAGUUCACGAGUGUGUCGCCAAGUUGGGUAUGGAGUCUAAUGUUCUCGUGGGAACGCCGUAAUUAAUAUUAUAUGCAAAUGCGGGGUUUUUAUCCGAUGCAGAUUUAUUUUUGACAUGAACUUUAACAAUUAUGAGUUGAACAUGCCAUGGAAUUCAUGAUUUCAGGCUAUUCACAGUGGUGUUGGCUGGCUUGCGGCCAGCCUUUGUUUUCUUGAAUUUGUCGAGCAAGUAGCUGGCUGCUUUUGUUCAUAAACGGACAAGUGAGUAGACAGUGCAGUAAUUAAUAUGUAUGCCAAGUGUGGAAGUAUAAUGGAAGCAGAGAAAGUUUCGGUAGCAUUUCGAACUCUCAUAUAGUUUCAUGGACUGCUAUUAUGUCAAGGUUAUGCCCAACACGGUUUUGUGGAUCACGCUCUUAAGCUUUUUUCAUAUGAUGGCGCAGUUCGGUGUUAAACAUACUGCUGUUACACUGCUCUGCAUUCUGUUUGCUGUAGUCAUGACGGUUCGGUAGAAGCAGGCCUUUGCUAUUUCCGACUGAUGGAGGAAAGAUACAGCAUUACUGUAGAGAUGGAGCAUUAUGCUAGUAUUGUUGACCUCUUAGGUCGUGUGGGCCGCCUAGGUGGCCUUAUAAUUCAUACACAAAUGUCAAAUGAACCAAAUGAUAUUGUAUGGCAGACGCUUUAGGAUCAUGCAGGGUUCAUGCAAUGUUGAGCUGGGGAGGUUUGGCUGCCGAGGAAGAAUCCUUUCCCUUCGAUCGAGGUUUCAGGGGGCAGAGAAAGAUACCUAUGUUCUUUUAUCUAAUCACAUACAUUGGGUCGGGGAGCUUCGAGGGAUUGAUUAACCCUAAGAAUGUUGAAGAGCGAGAUGGUGUAGAAGAACUACAGGGGAGAAGAUUCAAUAUAUCUCAUGUUGGAGAUUUGAGGGAGAAAUUAAGGCCCGGGUUAUGUACUGUAUAUGCGGUAUGUGUUGCAAGAUUGGCUUAAGAGGAAGAAUUUGGAGUUUUAAUUUCUGUUAGUCUUUAUGACAGCUUAACAUGCUAGCAUGUCUUGAUACUUCACGUACUGCAACUAGAACUAACACAAACUAAUUUGUUUAUACAUUAAAUCACUGGGAGUAAAAUUUUCUUGUUUGAAGAUGUAAAAAAGAGCUUAGAAGUGUUUCACGGAGCAAAUAGCCCCUAGACAAGAAAAGUUUUCUGAUAGCAGUUGAACCCUGUGCAUGCCCCAUAAUAGCCACCUCCUUCUCUGUCACAAUUUAGCGCAGCCAAAUGCUCAAAUUUCAGGGAACUGAUAGGAAUGCUUGUUAGAAAAAUGUUCUCGUUAACCACGAAGUUCUGAUGGCCGAACUAUCGGAAUGUAUAAAAGUCAGCUGUGGCCAUUGUGGCUCCUGAACUGGCUUAUAGAAUGGAUGUACUCGUGGCCGAACAUAGGUUGCUGUGACUUUUGAGCAAGAAGGAUGACACAGGCACAGGCAUCGGUGCCAAUCCUGAUCACACUUUCCUUCCCCUGAAACAGGCAAAUUUUGUACAUGCUUGAAAAUUUUAGUAUUCCAAAUACAUGCGUUUCUUGUUACCAGGAAAAAAAGCAAUCAAGUUUACAUUUUCUGAUCUUAGUGAACUUGGUUGGCAAUGGUUUUUAUUUUUUAUUUAUUUUUGGGCACAGGCCAAGGAAAUUAUUAAGCAUUGAACUUUGUUAAAUGAUCUUGGCUUCUUGCCAGAAGCUGAAAGUCAAAAUGAAAAAAGACUGAAGAUCCACGAGAAUAGAACUUGUGAAACAUUACAUGUGCAACCUGGUCGGGCUUAUAAAUAUGGACAUGAAGAUAUUGCAUUAAAUCACUAAUCUGGUGAGUUUGAUUUUGGUUCUGCCAAAAUUUUUCUAGAUCCAUAUUGACGAAAUGAUGUUUGCUAGAUUUAUUUUUCUGGCAAUGAAAGCAUCAACUUCUUAUUGGCCAACAUACUAAGCGAUGUUUUCGUGCCUUUUAUGGGUCUCAUGGUCAAUCUCAGGUUUGCCUGUUUCAUCACCGCACUGUCAUUUAUGUUGGUAAAUCACUAGUAGGGCUCGGUGAUUAUUUAGAGCGGGUUAUAGAUGUCUUCAUUUAGAAUUUGAAUUGUAAGGAAGUCCAAUUCUAUUUGAGUUGGCCUCUGGACUCCGGACAAUUACAGAAAGUGCGAGGAAAACUUUCAAACUCUGUGUAGUUAAGAGGGCACGCAGUAAAUAGGGUAUGAUCAUACAACAGACCCUAUAUUCUUCUGUAGAAGAUACCAAUAUGUACGUCAGGAUUGGAACAAUGCAAAGUGGAAUUUGAGAAUAUAGUAGCCAUUUGGUGUGUAUUUUUCUAAUACAUCCUCCCCGCCCCCUAUCUUUUCUGUUUUUUUUUUUUAAAUUCUAGUUAAUACUAUACUUUUGUUUUUGCAAUUUUUAUUACUUUAAUUCAACAACGCACUAUCCAUCUAAAAAAAUUAACCACCACUGUAUAGUAAACAUUAAUAAAUAUAUUGUUUAACAUUCGCUAGAAUGGUUUGGUGUCCUCCCAUUUUUGAAAAUUUUAAUUGUUGGGUGCAAUUGUCAAGUCGUGUGUCUGUAUCGGUCUACUUGGCCUAUAGAUUUAAUAACUAUGCACGUUAAAAGUUAGGAUAGUAUUGAAACGGAUAUGGUUCUCUUUUAUUCUGGUCUUUGUCAGAAAAUUAUUCAUGAGAAGUAUAUGGCAAUGUGAAUGAUUGUUUUGAAAAGCGCUCUCUCUUUCGAAAGGUUGGUUUUGUAGAGUUUUUUGUUGGUCCUCUGUUUUGAUUUAGUGGUUCCUACUUUGUCCAUGAAGAGGCUUUGAGGUAUUAUGUGACAAAAAAUAUUUCUGCCUGCUUAAGUGCGGAGCUUCUGGCUGCAUGUUGUGAUACUGUUUUCAAGAAGGAUGGGAGUGAAAAAAAGAGUGUGAAGCCAUGGAAGACACUUUGGACAAGGUAGCCUUCUUGUUUCUCUCCUAUCAAAUUCCAUUUUCGUCAAAUCUAUUGACUUUUAAUGGUAGUUUUAACCUGUGCCUUUAAUUUCGAGAGUUAUUUGCUUAUAUUGUCAAGAAAGAUCUUUUUGCUGCAUUCUGCAGGUAAGCUGUUUUUUUACAUUAUAUGUUUCAACUUUGUCUUGAAUGGGGAUAUAGUUCUCUUUCCCUUCCCAUCUUUUAUUUCCAGCUAUGACGGGAAUGGCAACUUAAGAUGAUAAAAGUACUUGAGUCUUGAUAACCUUCCUUCCUUGUAAUUACUUCAACUAAUGUUGUAUAUUGCCACCACUGUGGUAUAGCUCAAUUUUAUACCAUUUCCAUGUUGGUAUUAUCUUCAAAGUUCCUAAUGGCUACUAAAUUACACGAAGUGUUGAUCCAACAAAUGCUAUUUCUCGAUACUCGAUUGUUAAGAUACAUGCCAGUAAGAUAGAGAAGAGACUUUGUCCGUCAGGUGCAAGUAUUGCACACUAUAACCAACUGAUUUAAGAUCAGCCCAAUGGAUAAGAUCAUCCACUUAGAAAUAUGUCAGCUGCAGUGCUCGAAAACCAUUCGAAGAUCCUUUCAGUGUCCAAAGGUACAAUAAGAUAGAUAACUUGCACCCGAGACGUGCAAAAAUGAGGUUUUGCAUUAGGGAUGAGUAUGCAAAAACGAUAGAGUACGUAGGUACCCGUCGUGUCUUGUAGAAAAGCGAUACAACCAUAUGGACAUAAUGCAUGUCCAGUGUUUUUACACGAGUGUUACUGUUGCUAAUGAAGUUUAUUUUCUAAUGAGAAUACACAGCUGUGUUUUGCUUUAUAAUACCAGUGUUUUGUGGAAGACAGUGAUUAAUGCCUGAAAGAGGUAGUCUCUGAGUACGGUUGAAACUUUGACACGACAAUUUUACCCAAGUUUUACCAUGACAAUGAGUUUUGACAAUGUGAAAGCCCAUCGAACAGAGGAGUUACGACUGCAGUGACCUUGUUCAACUAUCAUUUUUUUCCUCAACAAUUUAUCUUUCUGGGAUGGAGGGGCAUUUAGAUGGUCGAAGGUCACAGGAGGUGGGGGAGAGAAUUAAGGCAAUCUUAGGAGAGAGAGGGCAGCAGUGGAGAUAUUUGAAUCAACGGAGGGAGUGGUUUGCCUAAGUUGGGGACUGAUAUCACCAAGUGAUAAUGUGUAUUUUUUAAUUUCCCACUACUAAUAUUUGAGAUCUUCUCAGAAUAAAUGUGGAAUUUUGAUUUGAUAUUUUCUCAAUAUUUUUAGUCCAAUUAAAAUUGAUAUAUUUAUAUUAAUUUGACACUAAACCAAAUAGUUGAGUACUUCUCUUGUUUAGUUGAUAAGUUCUAUUUUUUCCCAAAAAAUUUAUGGAUAUUUUUUUUAUUUAUUAUGUUGUGCAGCGGUAAUCAUGUUCAUACAUAAUUUAGAAGUUGAUUAUUUCUUAAUAUGAAAAUCAUAUUAUAUUUAAUUGAUCUUGUUUGCUUUGAAAAACAAUUAUUGUUUGUUUGACUACUUAAGUUUCAUAUUGAGAUUGGUAGGUUGAUGGUUAUUCAAAAUGAAAUUUUUGUACGAUAAUUACUUACUAUGAUUUUUUUGUAGACUAAGUACACUUAAAAAGAUCUUAUUAUAAUUUUUUCAAUUGUUUUCGCUUGAUAAUGAUUUUAUACUUUUUUGAUUUUUCUUAACAAGAGGAGUCCCAAAAAUGUGAUUUUUUUUACCUAAUAUAAAAAAAUGUUUACUAAAGAUGGAAAAAAAAAAUAUUUUCGAUGAUUUUUUAGGAUAAAAAUAUUUUUAUUUUUUAUUUUUAGUGAUUUGUUUUUGAAUUAUAUGAAUUUUUUUAUAUUUUUGAACUCCUUUCGUUAAAAAGAACCAAAAAAAUAUUAAAUUUUAAUCAAAUUACAAAAAAACAAAUUACUAAACACAAAAAACCUCCGUUCACUCACUAUAUCAGAUGAGUUACCAGUACAAAAUUGCAAUUAAAAAGGUUAGUUUCUUGCAUUUCUUGAUUGUACAUAUAGUAAAAACUUAUGGGUCCUAAUCCUUAACUUUCCUAGUAGAUUAGUUUUUUUCUCAAAACUUGUAUUAUUGCAAAAACAAACAACAACAAGAGUUUGCCGAAUUCUUGUUUUUCAACUACUUCCCUUUAUAAUCCAAUUACCAUAUUUUAAGUUUUCUACAAAAUUCUUUUUGUCAAAUGAACACCCUAAGAAAAUUAAAUUUCCUCUUCCUUAACUUAAAUACACUUUUCUUAAAAAUAACUUUCCUACAACAUAUUCUUGUUAACUAAACAGAGCCAGAACCAAUACAAUCCAGUCCUUUGAGGUCUGUUUUGAAGAUCUGAAUCAUUCAGAUUGUAUACCUUAUCUUGAAGACCAAUAUUAUAAAAAAUCACGUUAAUCGAAUAUAAUUUAACAGUGAUUGUUAUUAAUUUUUAUCAAUAUAAAUAGGUAUAAUGUUGUGUGCUGCACCCCUAUUUAUUUAGUUAUAAAAAAGUAUUCGAGAUAUUAAACUGUAUCUGAUUAAUGUGAUUUUUUACAGUAUUGAUUUUUAAGACAUAGUUUAUGAUGUGAACAAUUUAAAUAAUUAAAAUGAACUCAAAAUAAUUGAACAGGACCGAUUCAAUUCAAUUAAUGGACCGGAGAUAAUUCAAUCCCACCAUUUAAACCCAAAUGAAAUAACGGCAAAGAAAACAAGAACAAGUGUUUAUGUUUACGUCGACCAAGACUUUGAGACUUGCAUGUGAAAUCUAUGAGUUUGCUAAGAACAAGUAAUAAUGAUGUGAACAAUUCAAAUAAUCAAAAUAGACUCAAAAUAAUUAAACAGGACCGAUUCAAUUCAGUUAAUGGAUCGGAGAUAAUUCAAUCCCACCAUUUAAACCCAAACGAAACAACGGCAAAAAAAAUCAAGAACAUGUAAUAAUGGUUAUAUCUACGUCAACGAAGACUCGGAGACUUGCCUAUGAAAUCUAUGCGCAUCUCCAUUGAUUGUGAUAGUGCGAAUAUUAGUGAGUUGGUUAAGAUAAAGUAGUUAAACUAUGUUUUAACCAAGUUUUAGCUUGUGCUAAGAGUAGGCCUCCACACAUCUAAAUCUUAGUGUCAAUUGUAAAUAUUUAGCAAGUUAGUUAACAAAACAAAUAAAUUGAUUAUGCUCAUUAAAAUACAAAUUUUUAAUCAUUUUAUUUUGUGUAAAUGAGAAUUAUGUAGGCCCUACUCAUUAAACUAUUGUUAUUUGUAUUGAUUAAUUUGUAGAUAAAAGUUAAUGUAAUAAAUAAUGUAUUUUUUAUUAACUAAGUAUUUUAACUAACAAAAAUAAGACCUACUUUUACCUUAUGACACGGCUUAACACACAAGCUAAUAACCACAGUCAACAGAAUUGCUCUAAACCCAAAGACCACGCAAAGAAAGUAAGAACAAGUGGUUGGGCUUAUCAACAUCAACACACACUUGAAGACAUGCCACCGAAAUCUAACCCAAAGACCAUGAUAAAGAAAAUUAGAACAAGUGGGCCUCUAAAAUCGAAUCCCAAAGACCACGACAAAGAAAAAUACAAAUUUGUUGAUCAAUAAAAUAUUUUUAAUUUGAUUAAUUUAUAUAAUGGAAUUUACUGUUUUAAUGAGAGUAUUUAAACUAAUUACAAAGUGAAUAGUAUUUUAUAAAUUGAGUUAACAAUAAAAUAUUCAAAGGCACCAUUUAAUUGUUAAGAAAGGGAAAGAAAAAUAAAAUAUUUUUUGAUUGUUCAAUAGACAGCAACUUCUAGAAUCCUAAUCCUUCACUUUUCUAAUACGAUUAUUUUUUCUUCAAAUAUUGUCCUUAAAAAAACAUAAAAUCUUAUGAAAUCUUACUUUCCAAACAAUUCCCUCUAUAAUUCAAUUACCAUGUUUUAUUUUUCGUAUAAAAUUCUUUUAUCACAUGAACAAACUCAAGAAAUUAAUUUUUUUUUUACUUCAAUUUACUUCAUUUUUUUUAUAAAUAUUUUUUUCGCAACAAAUUAUUGACAACAUAAAAAAACAUAAUAAAACCAAAUCCACAUCCUUAAGAAAUUCCAAUAUCAUGUUAAAACAUGGUAUUUUUAAAUAUGUGCUUCAAAGUUCUCUCAAUAUCCACUCACUUGUUACCCGUCACUCUCGUGGGUGUAGAGCAAUAAGUGACGUGAGUGGUAAACUCAAUUAUUAUUAUUUUAAAUACUUAAAAUUCCUCAAUUAAGAUGAAUGAUAAGUUGAAACCUAUAAAAGAUAGAAAAAUUUUGAUAAAGUUAAAAAAUUCAACUCGAAAAAAAGCAAAAAAAAAUAAAAAUUGCUAAAAAAUUGCAAUAUAUAUACAAAAAAAGAAGCUAAUCUUAACACUAAUUUCACCACUUUUUACUCUUUCGAUAAUCUGAAUUAUUCAUAUUGUAUAUCCCGUUGUGAAGAUCAAUAUUAUAAAAGAAUCAGGUUAAUCGAAUAUAAUUUAAUAGUUGAUCGUUAUCAAUUUACAUCAAUAUUAUUUAUUAAGUUAUAAAAUAAUACCCAAGAUAUUAAACUGUAUUUGAUUAACAUAUUUUUUUAGAGUAUUGAUUUUCAGGACAUAGCAUGAAUUUGAACAAUUUGAAUAAUUAAAAUGGGGCCCAAUUAAUAGUUCAAUUCAAUUAGUAGACCAAAGACAAUUCAAUCCCAACAUUUAAACCCAAACGAAAAGCAACAAUGAAAACAAGAACAAGUAAUAAUGGUUAUGUUAACAUCAACAAAGACUCGGAGACUUGCCUAUGAAAUCUAAGAGCAUCUUCAUUUGUUGCGUUAGUAUGGGUAUUAGUGAGUGGGCUAAAAUUAAUUAAUUAAUUAGUCUUUUUUUUAAUAGUUUAGCUAAAAAUGUGCUAAGUGUGUCUCGCCUACUUUAGAUACUAGAGUCAUGGUUAAAUACCCCUAAAAAAUUAAUAGUUUAGCCAUUUUGCUUUGUGUAGAUGAAAAUUAUGUAGGUUCUACUCGUUAAACUAUUGUUAUUUAUAUUAAUUAAUUUAUAAAUAAAAAAUUAAUAUAAUAAGUAGUGCACUUCUUAACACAAUUAACGGAGUAUUUUUAAUACCGUUAACUAAACUUAACACAAACUAAUAAGCGCAAAGACCACGGCAAAGGAAGUAAGAACAAGUGGUUAUGGUUAUGUCAACAUCAACAAAGACUUGAAGAUUUACCGCUGAAAUCUAAACCCAAAGACCAUGGCGAAGAAAGUAAAAACAAGUGGUUAUGGUUGCACGUGGAAUGCAAAUUUGUUGAUCAAUGAACGUUAUUUUCAACGUGAUUGAUUGGUAUAAUAGAAUUCACUGUUUUAAUUGAACAAGUUUUAUUAUUUAAACUAAUAUUUACUCACUAUGUUAAAUUGAAUUACUAAUAAAUAUUUUAAGUCAGGCACCAUUUAGAUGUCAAGAAAAAAAUAAUAAUUUUUGAUUGUUCAAUAGCGUACGACGACAACUUGUAGAAUCCUAGUUCUUCACUUUUCUAAUAAGAUUAAGUUUUCUUUAAUUUUAUUCUGCAAAAAAAAAAAAUUUACGAAAUUUUACUUUCCAAACAAUUCCCUCUAUAAUUUGAUUACCAUGUUUUAUUUUUCAUAUAAAAUUCUUUUGUCACAUGAACAAACUUAAGACACUAAAUUUUCUUAUACUUCAAUUUAAUUCAUUUUUUUUUACAAAUAACUUUUCUGCAAUAAAUUAUUGGGAAUACAAAAAAAAACAUAAUAAAAACAAAGUCACAGCCUCAAGCAAUUCCAAUAUCAUGUUAAAAUAUGGUGUUUGUUAAAUUACAUGCUUCAAAGUUCUCUCAUUAUCCAAUCAAUGUCUUUCGCCACUCUCUCAAUGGUGGGGGGCAAUAAGUAGAGGUGUCAAGCGGGCCUUGCCGGCCACGGCACGGCACGGGCACGGCACGAAAAAAACCCGCCGAGCACGCUUGAGGCACUGAUAAAAGUUGGGCAGGUACGGCACGAUACGGUCUGAGAGGCCGAACACGGGCACGAGGCACGGAAAAUGGCAGAGCACGGCACGGGACGGCAAUAGUUGGCCUCACACGGCACGGCAUGGCACGGACACGGUCAAAAGCCCGGCACGGCACGGGCAUGACACGAUAGUUAUUGGUUUGGCACGACACGGCACGGCACGACACAGACUUAGCCAAGCACGGCCACAGGCAUGGCCGAAUGUGGUCAAGGGCACACAUGGGUACGACACGAUAAAUUUGGCCUGACACGACACGGACGUGAUAAGAAAUGAUUAAUUAUUAAAAAAUUAAAAUAAAAUUUAAUUAAAUAAAUUGACUUGCCAUAGAAAUAUUUUUUAAAAAUUUAAAAGAAAUAAAGAAAGUAAAUAAAUAAAUUUUGACUUAUUCAUUGGGUCAGGCUGUAAAUAAAAGAAAAUACAAAAAAAAUAUUUUUAUUAAAUAAAUGGACUUUCAACUGCCAUAUAAGAAAAAAUUGAGAAAUAUUUAAAAUAAAAUUUGAAUA